UACGUAGGGGGCAAGCGUUGUCCGGAAUCAUUGGGCGUAAAGCGCGCGUAGGCGGCCCGGUAAGUCCGCUGUGAAAGUCCAGGGCUCAACCCUGGAAAGCCGGUGGAUACUGCCGGGCUAGAGUCCGGAAGAGGCGAGUGGAAUUCCUGGUGUAGCGGUGGAAUGCGCAGAUAUCAGGAGGAACACCAAUAGCGAAGGCAGCUCGCUGGGACGGUACUGACGCUGAGGUGCGAAAGCGUGGGGAGCGAACAGG
rnacentral:rRNA from 1 species